rnacentral:rRNA from 1 species
UUGUGCAAAGGUAGCAUAAUCAUUAGUCUUAUAAUUUAAGACUGGAAUGAAAGAGUUAAUGAAAGAUAUCCUCUUUUUAAUAUACCCACCCAACUUUACUUUUUAGUAAAAAGGCUAAAAUACUCUUUAAAGACAAGAAGACCCUAUAAAUCUUUACACAUAAAGAUUGAAAAGAUCAAAAGUGUGUUCAGCUGGGGCGGCGGAGAAUAUCUCAUUCUCAAAUACAUCAAGAAUUAUUCUUAUUACCCAGAAAUUCUGAAGAUAAAAUAAGUUACUUUAGGGAUAACAGCGUUAUAUAUUUAGAAAGCUCAAAUUGAUAAAUAUGAUUGCGNCCUCGAUGUUGGAUUGGUUACCCUUGUACCACGCAAAAGGGC